rnacentral:rRNA from 1 species
GAGUGAACGCUGGCGGUAGGCCUAACCCAUGCACGUCGAACGGCAGCCCAGUAAGAGCUUGCUCUUACGGGUGGCGAGUGGCGGACGGGUGAGGAAUACAUCGGAAUCUACUUUUUCGUGGGGGAUAACGUAGGGAAACUUACGCUAAUACCGCAUACGACCUACGGGUGAAAGCAGGGGAUCUUCGGACCUUGCGCGAUUGAAUGAGCCGAUGUCGGAUUAGCUAGUUGGCGGGGUAAAGGCCCACCAAGGCGACGAUCCGUAGCUGGUCUGAGAGGAUGAUCAGCCACACUGGAACUGAGACACGGUCCAGACUCCUACGGGAGGCAGCAGUGGGGAAUAUUGGACAAUGGGCGCAAGCCUGAUCCAGCCAUACCGCGUGGGUGAAGAAGGCCUUCGGGUUGUAAAGCCCUUUUGUUGGGAAAGAAAAGCAGCAGGUUAAUACCCCGCUGUUCUGACGGUACCCAAAGAAUAAGCACCGGCUAACUUCGUG